rnacentral:rRNA from 1 species
GGGGAAUUUUGGACAAUGGGCGCAAGCCUGAUCCAGCCAUGCCGCGUGUCUGAAGAAGGCCUUCGGGUUGUAAAGGGCUUUUGUCAGGGAAGAAAAGGCUGUUGCUAAUAUCAAUAGCUGAUGACGGUACCUGAAGAAUAAGCACCGGCUAACUACGUGCCAGCAGCCGCGGUAAUACGUAGGGUGCGAGCGUUAAUCGGAAUUACUGGGCGUAAAGCGAGCGCAGACGGUUACUUAAGCAGGAUGUGAAAUCCCCGGGCUCAACCUGGGAACUGCGUUCUGAACUGGGUGACUAGAGUGUGUCAGAGGGAGGUAGAAUUCCACGUGUAGCAGUGAAAUGCGUAGAGAUGUGGAGGAAUACCGAUGGCGAAGGCAGCCUCCUGGGAUAACACUGACGUUCAUGCUCGAAAGCGUGGGUAGCAAACAGGAUUAGAUACCCUGGUAGUCCACGCCCUAAACGAUGUCAAUUAGCUGUUGGGCAACUUGAUUGCUUAGUAGCGUAGCUAACGCGUGAAAUUGACCGCCUGGGGAGUACGGUCGCAAGAUUA